rnacentral:misc_RNA from 1 species
UUGUAAUCCAUGGGAUCUCAUGGUUAGUGUUUUAGCUUAACACAAAAACUUGAGUAAUUUUAUGUUUCGAUUAAAGUUAAUAUCACAAGGGUAGAAUUUUCUCAUAUUUCUAGCAUAUAUCUACUAAUAUACUUUUUUUAACCCCUUCAUCUCAUCUAUUUAGUUUACACAUUGUCACACCUUAUCCUUACAUAAGGCAUGACAUGAUCCCGUAAUAUAUCCUAUGAAUUACCGAAUAUCGUCUAUCGAUAAUCCACUAAAUAUAUUACAAGGGAUUUUAAACAAUUUUAAUUUCCUUCAAGUUGAAAAAAGAAGAUAAUUAUCAUUAAAGAACUUUUAUUGGGGUUUAUAUCAUGGUAAUAAAUUUUGAUCUUUUCGGAAUUUCUAAAAUUUUUACAGAAAUUUUGACAAAGUUCCGUUUGUAAUUGGAAAAAACAGUUCUUCAAAACCUGUUAAAACACUCCUAAUAUUCAUUUAAACCACAACUCCAUUUAGACUCAUCACAAUUCAUUCUCAAUCAAUACAAUUUCAAGCAAUUCAUUAUAAAAAAAAAAUUAAAAGAAAUUCAAGGAUUUCAUUAAUAAGAAAUAACUAGCUUACAUUACAAAUAUUUACAUUGACCAAAAUAAAAUCCUAAAAGUUUUAUAUAACUGCUCAAGUCAAAUAUGUAUAUACACACGGAUACAUAUACAUUAAAAGAAAUAUUUACAAGGGUAUAAUCUAUAUACCCGGUAAUGACUUCAAAAUAAUAAUUACUUCACAUCACCAGCAGCCUACUCUGCUGCUUUAUCUGUCUCUAAGCUAUCGCUGAGUCAAAGACUCAGUGGUGUACAACUUAAAGAAAAAAAUAAUUUACACACUAACAUAAUCACAAAUUUUCAAAUUAAAUCAAUUGAAUUAUUAACACAUAGAAAAUCAUGCUUUAUUUCUAAAGCCAGAAAUUUUUUUUAAAUAAAUCAAAUUUUAUUCCACAAAUCAUAAAACAAAAUUUUGAAAAGUCACACAACUUGAUCAUGACACAAAUAUCCAAUUUGUCCUAAUAACUAAAGGCUAAUGUGGAAUACAAAGGCUAGCUAGCACAAAUAUAUGAGUACUCAUUCAAUUCGUUCUCAACUGGCACACACCUCAACACUUCAACUAGAGAGGGAAUAAAAAUCCAAUUCGUUCCACUAGGCAAGCUAGUAAGGAAUUCAAACAUAUAGUCAUGACACUGUGGUUUCAAACCAUUUCAAUAAUUUUCCCAAGUAUCAAAAUAUUCAUCGAUUCACAUUCUUAUUUCAUUUCAAAUAAUUUCCUAAACUUGGGCUAACAACACAUAAUUUUUAUCAAUCAAAGUAUUCAAUAUAAAUAAGGCCAUAAAUUAAUUUCACAACACAUUCCAUUCAAAAUUCAACUUGAAAAUCAAAAAGGGGUAGUUGUUGUGCACAAACCUCUUAACUAGUUUUGACUUGGUCCAAUUCUUCGUCCUUCCUUUGAGGGCUCCUUUCCCACUGAAACACAUAAUUAGAGUGUUUCAAUAUCUAUUUAACUUAUUUCUAACAAUAGUUUUAACACUUGAAUUUUGCAUUUAAAAUUUACUUAUAUAGUCCCAUAAGUUGAGUUCUUUUGUUCUUGGUUAUGAUGGUUACUAUUUAUUUGACUAAUUAGGUAAAAUGUUGGCUUUUUCACACAUAAUAGGUAUACUAGUUCUAAUUCAGUGUUAUCAAGGCAAAAGGCGAC